GCCUGGCUGGCUCAGUCAGUAGAGCAUAUGACUCUUGAUCUCAAGGUCGUGAGUUCAAGCCCCACAUUGGGCA
rnacentral:tRNA from 1 species